AUCUGUUGGAUCCUUGGUAUUCCAACUCCGAAAGCAAACAUUAGAAAGGAAGAUAUUGUGUCAAAGCUGUUGGACUUCAUUGCUGAACCUCACUCUGCAGCUGAAUCUUGGGGCUCUUAUGACCAGGGAUCAAAUUCUAAAAAACGCAAGAGAGGAGGUGAAAGUGCAAGUAAGACGCCUGAUGAC